ACGCUCGACACCUACGGGACAGCAGUCGGGAAUAUUGCGCAAUGGAGGAAACUCUGACGCAGUGACGCCGCGUAUAGGAAGAAGGUUUUCGGAUUGUAAACUAUUGUCGUUAGGGAAGAAAAAGGACAGUACCUAAGGAGGAAGCUCCGGCUAACUACGUGCCCGCAGCCGCGGUAAUCUGAGCGGGCUGGCAAGGC
rnacentral:rRNA from 1 species